rnacentral:rRNA from 1 species
AUUGAACGCUGGCGGCAUGCUUUACACAUGCAAGUCGAACGGCAGCGCGGGCUUCGGCCUGGCGGCGAGUGGCGAACGGGUGAGUAAUACAUCGGAACGUGCCCAGUAGUGGGGGAUAGCUCGGCGAAAGCCGGAUUAAUACCGCAUACGACCUGGGGGUGAAAGCGGGGGAUCUUCGGACCUCGCGCUAUUGGAGCGGCCGAUGGCAGAUUAGCUAGUUGGUGGGGUAAAGGCCUACCAAGGCGACGAUCUGUAGCCGGUCUGAGAGGACGACCAGCCACACUGGGACUGAGACACGGCCCAGACUCCUACGGGAGGCAGCAGUGGGGAAUUUUGGACAAUGGGCGAAAGCCUGAUCCAGCAAUGCCGCGUGUGUGAUGAAGGCCUUCGGGUUGUAAAGCACUUUUGGCGGGAACGAAAAGGACUGUGCCAAUACCACGGUUCGAUGACGGUACCCGCAGAAUAAGCACCGGCUAACUACGUG